rnacentral:rRNA from 1 species
GACGAACGCUGGCGGCGUGCUUAACACAUGCAAGUCGUACGGUAAGGCCCUUUCGGGGGUACACGAGUGGCGAACGGGUGAGUAACACGUGAGUAACCUGCCCACAACUUUGGGAUAACGCUAGGAAACUGGUGCUAAUACUGGAUAUGUGCUCCUGCUGCAUGGUGGGGGUUGGAAAGCUCCGGCGGUUGUGGAUGGACUCGCGGCCUAUCAGCUUGUUGGUGGGGUAGUGGCCUACCAAGGCGGCGACGGGUAGCCGGCCUGAGAGGGUGACCGGCCACAUUGGGACUGAGAUACGGCCCAGACUCCUACGGGAGGCAGUAGUGGGGAAUAUUGCACAAUGGGCGCAAGCCUGAUGCAGCAACGCCGCGUGCGGGAUGACGGCCUUCGGGUUGUAAACCGCUUUCAGCAGGGACGAAGCUUUUUGUGACGGUACCUGCAGAAGAAGCACCGGCUAACUACGUG